GAUGAAGAACGUAGCGAAAUGCGAUACGUAGUGUGAAUUGCAGAAUUCAGUGAAUCAUCGAAUCUUUGAACGCACAUUGCACCUCUCGGUAUUCCGGGAGGUAUGCCUGUUCGAGCGUCAUUUGUACCCUCAAGCUCUGCUUGGUGUUGGGUGUUUGUUCCGCCUCUGUGUGUGAACUCGCCUCAAAACAAUUGGCAGCCGGCGUACUUGUUUCGGAGCGCAGCACAUUUUGCGAUCCAGAUCAACGUACAGCGGCAUCCAAGAAGCCUUAUUUAACGCUCUUGACCUCGGAUCAGGUAGGGAUACCCGCUGAACUUAAGCAUAUCAGUAAGCGGAGGA
rnacentral:misc_RNA from 1 species